rnacentral:ncRNA from 1 species
GGGCAUUCUUAGAGCCUCGUGAGCUUCGUGUUAAUAGCUGUGUCUUUGGCCGGGCACGGUGGUUAGUGAAUC